rnacentral:sRNA from 1 species
UUCACCGAGGUACACUUAGAGAGUUAGAGGGGAUUGCAAAAAACCUUAAUUGACAGCAUUAACAAUGGAUUAAUAGACGCAUCUAUUAUCGGAAUUUACACCGAUAUCUUGGAUAUUUAAGGUUAGAAAAUAAUAUUUUUCUCAUUCGAAUCGUUGUUGUAACCAAGUAGCUCAUAAUUUUUUUCAUU